rnacentral:lncRNA from 1 species
GUACAUAUGGGAAUUUCUUCAUUCUACUCCUAUCUAUGAAAAACAAAAUUUCACAGAGGGGUCAUUACAGAAUACAAAAGGAAAAGCAUAGGGGUUGUUGGGGUUGUUGUCCAUCUGUUUUGUUGCCUUGGGCUAUUCUCAGAUCCAAGAUUUUCAGAGAGAAAAACAGCCCUGAGUCCUAUGGAUGAAAGCAGUGAUUCACGAAUUUACAUGGGCAUGAAGAAUCAUCUAGGUCCUUCCUCCUUAAAUACAAAAGCAAGAAAACCCUGCAGACUGCAAAUUCCCAGACCCCUUCCCUGGAGAUACUGAUGUAGAUCCAGGAAUUUGUCUUUUUUUCUUUUUUAAAUUAGGACCCAGGUGAUUCUGAGAAAGGCCUGCAGAUCAUGCUCUGAGAAACCCUAGAAUGAAGAUGAGCUGUUUAAGCUAUUCUCAGUCACGUGUUGAGCUGUCAUCUGGAGCGAUUUCUGUUUAAGCUCAGAAAGAAACCCAUGAGGAAUAAAAAAAGUCCUUCUGUGAG